rnacentral:rRNA from 1 species
AGCGAACGCUGGCGGCAGGCCUAACACAUGCAAGUCGAACGAACUCUUCGGAGUUAGUGGCGGACGGGUGAGUAACACGUGGGAACGUGCCUUUAGGUUCGGAAUAACUCAGGGAAACUUGUGCUAAUACCGAAUGUGCCCUUCGGGGGAAAGAUUUAUCGCCUUUAGAGCGGCCCGCGUCUGAUUAGCUAGUUGGUGAGGUAAAGGCUCACCAAGGCGACGAUCAGUAGCUGGUCUGAGAGGAUGAUCAGCCACAUUGGGACUGAGACACGGCCCAAACUCCUACGGGAGGCAGCAGUGGGGAAUCUUGCGCAAUGGGCGAUAGCCUGACGCAGCCAUGCCGCGUGAAUGAUGAAGGUCUUAGGAUUGUAAAAUUCUUUCACCGGGGACGAUAAUGACGGUACCCGGAGAAGAAGCCCCGGCUAACUUCGUG